GAGAUCUUAGCUUAAUUGGUAAAGCGUAUGACUUUUAAUCAUUCUCAUAAGGGUUCGAGUCCCUUAGAUCUUA
rnacentral:tRNA from 1 species